CAGACGCCGGGCCUCCCGGCACCACAGACACAGCUGCUCUGCUGCACCUGUGACGUUGGGGCAAAGAGGAAGCGGCUAUUUCUACGCUCAGUGCUCAGAACCGUGGGCACUAAGAAUGGUUUGUAGCCGAACAUGC
rnacentral:snoRNA from 10 species